rnacentral:lncRNA from 1 species
CGUGUGCUCUACCGUUCAGCUACGGUCAUGAACGCCGCUUUCUUCGUCCCUGCGCUUUUAUUUAUCGGUCUGACGUACUUUUCGACCUCGAAAGGUGUGAAAAGAGACAGGCAAAACGUUGCGGAGGCACUCAUCUAUUCGGAAAGCGAGAAGGGAUUCUACGAAGAAGGCUUAUUUCCUGAUUUGAAGGUUGAGAGCAGGAAAGACGCAAGCCAGAAAGGAAAGUCUAAAGGCCCGAGAGGAAACAAGAAAGGCAAGGGAAACAAUGGUGGAAGGAAAAUACGCCCGCUCGGCCUUAAUGUCACCGUUGAAGGCUCAUUUGUCGUGACAAAUGCUAGUUUU